rnacentral:rRNA from 1 species
CAAGCAGCCGCGGUAAUUCCAGCUCCAAUAGCGUAUAUUAAAGUUGUUGCAGUUAAAAAGCUCGUAGUUGGAUUUCUGGUCGGAGCGACCGGUCGGCGUCCUUUGUGGCGUGUGCACUGUCGUCGGCUCCGUCCAUCCUGGUGAGGAGGCGUGUGGGCAUUCAUUUGUUCGUGCGUGGACUCGCCACGUUUACUGUGAAAAAAUUAGAGUGCUCAAAGCAGGCUAAAAUGCCUGAAUAUUCGUGCAUGGAAUAAUAGAAUAGGAUGUCGAUCCUAUUUUGUUGGUUUUCGGGACUCGACAUAAUGAUAAAUAGGGACAGUCGGGGGCAUUUGUAUUCAAACGACAGAGGUGAAAUUCUUGGACCGUUUGAAGACAAACUACUGCGAAAGCAUUUGCCAAGAAUGUUUUCAUUAAUCAAGAACGAAAGUUAGAGGUUCGAAGGCGAUUAGAUACCGCCCUAGUUCUAACCAUAAACGAUGCCAGCUAGCGAUCUGCCUGCGUUUUUACUGUAGACUGGGCAGGAAGCUUCCGGGAAACCAAAGCAUUUGGGUUCCAGGGGAAGUAUGGUUGCAAAGCUGAAACUUAAAGGAAUUGACGGAAGGGCACCACCAGGAGUGGAGCCUGUGGCUUAAUUUGACUCAACACGGGAAAUCUCACCAGGCCCGGACACUGGAAGGAUUGACAGAUUGAUAGCUCUUUCUUGAUUCGGUGGGUGGUGGUGCAUGGCCGUUCUUAGUUGGUGGAGUGAUUUGUCUGGUUAAUUCCGAUAACGAACGAGACUCUGUCCUGCUAAAUAGUUUCUACUUCUCUUUUGAGUAGAAAUUUCUUCUUAGAGGGACUGGUGACUCUUAGUCACACGAGAUUGAGCAAUAACAGGUCUGUGAU